GAUUAAGAACGUAGCAAAAUGCGAUAAGUAAUGUGAAUUGCAGAAUUCAGUGAAUCAUCGAAUCUUUGAACGCACAUUGCGCCCGCUGGUAUUCCGGCGGGCAUGCCUGUUCGAGCGUCAUUUCAACCCUCAAGCCCCCGGGUUUGGUGUUGGGGAUCGGCUCUGCCCUUCUGGGCGGUGCCGCCCCCGAAAUACAUUGGCGGUCUCGCUGCAGCCUCCAUUGCGUAGUAGCUAACACCUCGCAACUGGAACGCGGCGCGGCCAUGCCGUAAAACCCCAACUUCUGAAUGUUGACCUCGGAUCAGGUAGGAAUACCCGCUGAACUUAAGCAUAUCAAUAAGCGGAGGA
rnacentral:misc_RNA from 1 species